rnacentral:rRNA from 1 species
CAAGUCGAGGGGCAGCACAAGGAUAGCAAUAUUCUGGUGGCGACCGGCGCGCGGGUGAGUAACACGUAUGCAACCUACCUGUAAGAGGGGAAUAACCCGGAGAAAUUCGGACUAAUACCGCAUAAUACCUUUAAGCUGCAUGGCUUAAAGGUUAAACAUUUAUGGCUUACAGAUGGGCAUGCGUAACAUUAGAUAGUUGGUGAGGUAACGGCUCACCAAGUCAACGAUGUUAGGGGUUCUGAGAGGAAGGUCCCCCACACUGGUACUGAGACACGGACCAGACUCCUACGGGAGGC